rnacentral:rRNA from 1 species
CCGGAUGAAGGCUGGCGGUGCGUUAAUACAUGCAAGUCGAACGAGAAACUGGAUUUUUUAAAGUGACAGUGGCGGACGAGCGAGUAACACGUAAGUAGCUGCCUUGUACUCGGGGAUAACUAGUCGAAAGAUUAGCUAAUACCGGAUGGUCUCGAAAGAGUAAAGAUUUAUCGGUACAAGAGGUGCUUGCGGCCUAUCAGCUAGUUGGUAAGGUAAAGGCUUACCAAGGCUAUGACGGGUACCUGGUGUGAGAGCAUGACCAGGCGCGAUGGGACUGAGACACGGCCCAUACUCCUACGGGAGGCAGCAGUAGAGAAUCUUCCGCAAUGGACGAAAGUCUGACGGAGCGACACCGCGUGGUGGAUGAAGCUUUUCGGAGUGUAAACACCUUUUAUGAGGGAAGAAAUUCUGACGGUACCUCAUGAAUAAGGACCGGCUAAUUACGUGCCAGCAGCCGCGGUAAUACGUAAGGUCCAAGCGUUAACCGGAAUUAUUGGGCGUAAAGCGUCCGCAGGCGGUUUGUUAAGUUGAUUAUGAAAUACCGAAGCUCAACUUCGGUGCUGUAGUCAAAACUAGCAAACUAGAGAUAUGGAGAGGUGCGUGGAAUUGUGCAAGUAGGGGUAAAAUCCGUAGAUAUGCACAGGAACACCAAAAGCGAAGGCAGUAUACUGGACCAUUCCUGACACUCAGGGACGAAAGCGUGGGGAGCGAAACGGAUUAGAUACCCGUGUAGUCCACGCCGUAAACGAUGCUAGCUCGAUGUAGGGAGACUCGACCUUUUCCCUGUGUCCAAGGUAACCCGUUAAGCUAGCCACCUGUGUAGUACGAGCGCAAGCUUAAAACAUAAAGGAAUAGACGGGGGCCCACACAAGCGGUGGAACGCGGGGUUUAAUACGUUAAUCAGCGUGUAACCUUACCCAGACUUGACAUUCUAAUCGCAGAUUUUAGAGAUAAUUUCGUCGGUUCGGCCGGAUUAGUAACAGGCGUUGCAUGGUUGUCGUCAGCUCGUGCCUUGAGGUGUACGGUUAAGUCCGAUAACGAGCGCAACCCUCAUCAUAUGUUGUAUUUUCAUGUGAGACUGCCGAUCAUAAAUCGGAGGAAGGUGAGGAUGACGUCAAAUCAGCAUGGCCCUUAUGCCUGGGGCUACACCCACAAUACAAUGGUUGGUACAAACUGAAGCGAAGCAGCGAUGCGGAGCAAAUCGGAUAAACCAAUCUCAGUUCGCAUUGAAGUCUGAAACUCGACUUCAUGAAGCUGGAAUCGCUAGUAAACGUGUAUCAGUCAUGGCACGUUGAAAUGUUCCUGGUCUUGCACACACCG